rnacentral:lncRNA from 1 species
CACAGUGGUGAUGAGAUGUCUGACUCCGAGCCUCGUUCCCAUGCCUAGUCACCCUGGUCAGCCCUCAGGAGGGAAUGGAACCAGUGGGGAUGUCAGGCUGUGGGCUCCGGAUGUGGAUCCCUGGAGGAAGGCCUGACUCCCCAUUUCCACAGUCCCACCCCUCCCUCAGCUGUGGAUUGUUCUAGGAACAUUUACCGAGCACCUGCUGUUUGGAGCCAGGUUUUGGGAACUUAUGCUGUUCCCAGGGAGAUAGAGGGAAGACAGGGAAGGGAGAGCUGGGUUUGGCUCUCAGUUGUGUCCCUGAGCUGUGCCUGUCUCUACAGAAGUCAGAGGUCCCACUUGUUAGGCCCUUCAUAGCAGCUGAUGCUUCUCGGGACUACUGGUUUACCCCGGUGCAGCUAUGCAUUAGAACUUUUCUUGGCCCCAAGAUAACAGGGGAUGAAGCUGGGCCUCCCAGAGGUGAAGCCACCUGCCCAGCAUGAUCAGGCAGCCAGAGAGGGAGUGCAAGUGUCAUCAGAGCUGGUCAAGUGCUCAACCCCCACCCCAGCCCCAGGGGAUGAGUGCUUCCUAACCCUGCAGAGUGGGAUUUGGUGCAUUGCUCCUGACAUAUUUCAGAUUUUCCCACCUUUGUGGCGUGCGGUGCCCCCCCACCUCCAAGUUGUGCAUGGCAUGGGACCACAGACUAGGCAGGAAAUCUUCUCUUAGAGGAUACGGAAUCCCCCGCUUUACAGGCAGCCGAGGCCUGCAGAGGGUUUCUGAGGCCAUCCCACUGAAGCUUGGCAACCCUGAACUCAGCUUUCUGACCUUAUGUGACACAGUGACCCCCUCACUCAAGAAGCAGGUCCCUCCUAUGUGUCCCAGCACCCCUGGCCUGAGCAAACUGGCAAAGGGGCCCCCUCUGGAGGGACUGUCUGCCACCCCAGACCCCACCUCUCUCCCUGCCCCCUGCCCCUGCUGGUUGGGGAAGGGGCUCUCAUGGCCCAGGCUGAGCAGGCAGUGAGCAUGUCAAGUCGUCCAACACUGUGAAAUUAGUGCCCCCACCGCUCCCCC